UUACGCCCCCGCUGCGAGUCCGAGAAGGCCUGGUCCCAUCUCUCCAUCUCCCAUGCUGUGUUGUGACUUUGUUGCUGCUGUUAGCCUGCUUUGUUUGAAUAUUUAUGGCUUCCUCGUGUCAUUUUCAUAAUGUUGCGUUUGACACUUUCCCUCUGGGCUCCACCGCUCACAAAACGACAUACACCAACAAAAAUCACACAUCCCAUUCACAUUCCAUAUUAUCUUACAAUAUUAUGGGCGGUCGGUUAGGGAUCGCCUCUUUUCUUCCCACUUUCGGUUACCAAUUUUGCAUCUCCAUCGCACUCGAGAGCCAUCCCCCCUUUUUAAGAUUUUGUGUAAAAUGUUUUUGAAAAUGACAUUUGUUGCUGACACAACGACAACUGUCAGCGGGCACUCGGUAGCCAUUUAUUUUGUUUUCUUUCCUGGGUUAGGCAGCGAAAACAUGAACAUGCUGGGACGGAAAAUAUUCUAUCAUAUUUUGAUCCAGGCUUAUGGACAUUUUAUCAAAAAUCGGACGAAUAGUGGCUGAAUACAUUUUUGUAAAUUUAAAAGGUGAUCCUAUUCUGCUUACAAGUAGUCUGUGGAAAAUAUUUCAAUCGCUGUCAAGUUGUAGCCCCAUGAACCUUUUUGUAUAACAUUCAGUCUAACACAAGCCUUACACCAAUUUUUAUAAAACUAUUUAUUGUA